AAGUCGUAACAAGGUUUCCGUAGGUGAACCUGCGGAAGGAUCAUUAUUGAUUGCGAAUCGUCGCCUUCUGUGCUGGCCGGCUUUGGCAAGUGCACGUUGGUGGCUUUCAUCCAAUACCCUGUGGACCUUUGGCCUCUUGCUAGCUUCGGCCGGCAGAGGAUUUUUACACAAACUCGAAUGUAAUGAAAUUUAUUGUCGUGCGCAAGCACUAAUGUACAACUUUCAACAACGGAUCUCUUGGCUCUC
rnacentral:misc_RNA from 1 species